AUUUAAAUUUAUCAAGAACAUCAAAAGAAUAUGUCCUGUAAACAACCAAUAUCGAAUGAUCAAAUAACAAGAGCUUUCCUUCAAAUUCUGUUAAUGUUAUCUUUAAUUUAUUUUUAUCAUUCAACAUAUUAAAAAGUUCACAUUUUUAAGAAACUUAAUAACAUUAUAAAGCCAACAAUAAAAUUAAUUUUUUUUCUCAUAUCUCACAACGGAUGUACGAAAUGGAAGUAUGGGAUUAAUUAAAACCUAACGCGCCAUCUUGCAGUACCGUUCAGAAACACGCAGCAAGAAAACAAUUUAUCGCCAUCAUGCUCAGUAUCGUGCCGUCUCUGCUUUUCUUAUGGCGUUUCAAAUUGUUACGUGCGAAUCAUGAUAGAUUUUGUGAAAGCAAAAACAAAUUGUUAUAUCUCGUAUUCACAUACAAAAAAUAUUAUGAAGAAAAAUAGAGAAUCAGCAACAUUGUAGAUGGAAUAUUAUUCCAUGUAAAAGAAAAGAGUACAUAUCUCUUUCCCUGUCUGCCUGACCCUUUGUAUGAUCCAUUCGACGAACAUCCGGCAUCUCAUGAUGUACUUUGAACCGCCGGAAUAACGACGGACACGAAAGAGCACAGUCUUGAGAAUAACGUCUUACCAACCAAACAACGAUAUAACUACCAUGAUUGUAAAAAAGGUGUGCUCCUCUAUGGGCUCGUUUUCGUUCAGUUUGCGCAUUACCAUGCUCAACGUCAUGAUGCUAACCUAACUGACAAUAUGCUUUGCGAAUUAUAAUUUCUUUUACGUGAUAUUAAUAACUAGUGUAAUGGAUUCUUCUGAUUUAGAUUACGAUAUAUGCCAGGUAAAAAAAAAAAAUAUAAUUUAUAUUUAGAAAAUUUAAUCAAAUAGAAGAUUCUAAAUGAUUCACAUUUUGUAUCUACCGCUCUUUCUAACAUAAGGAUUCCGAGCGAUCUGAUUUGUCGAGUUGAAUAUCUAUAUACAGCCACUCAGAGGCCUUUCUUUUUAUAACACAACGUGAUUACUACAAGGCCUUCGGAGUGCGUAACUUUAACAUACUAAGAAUUUUACUACUUCUUACGAUAUCGAAGAUAUAGAUGAAAAAAAAAAAAAAAAAAAAAAAAAAAAAAAAAUUUCUAUAAAAAUAUGUUGUAGAGAUAAAGGCGAAAAAAAACGAGAUAAAUCAUAUGAAUUUUCAAGAUAUAUAGCUGGAGAUUAAACUACUAUAUACAUACAGUUUACUAGAUAAAA